CCUGAUGCAGCAACGCCGCGUGAGGGAUGACGGCCUUCGGGUUGUAAACCUCUUUUAGCAGGGAAGAAGCGAAAGUGACGGUACCUGCAGAAAAAGCGCCGGCUAACUACGUGCCAGCAGCCGCGGUAAUACGUAGGGCGCAAGCGUUAUCCGGAAUUAUUGGGCGUAAAGAGCUCGUAGGCGGUUUGUCGCGUCUGCUGUGAAAUCCCGAGGCUCAACCUCGGGUCUGCAGUGGGUACGGGCAGACUAGAGUGCGGUAGGGGAGAUUGGAAUUCCUGGUGUAGCGGUGGAAUGCGCAGAUAUCAGGAGGAACACCGAUGGCGAAGGCAGAUCUCUGGGCCGUUACUGACGCUGAGGAGCGAAAGGGUGGGGAGCAAACAGGCUUAGAUACCCUGGUAGUCCACCCCGUAAACGUUGGGAACUAGUUGUGGGGUCCAUUCCACGGAUUCCGUGACGCAGCUAACGCAUUAAGUUCCCCGCCUGGGGAGUACGGCCGCAAGGCUAAAACUCAAAGGAAUUGACGGGGACCCGCACAAGCGGCGGAGCAUGCGGAUUAAUUCGAUGCAACGCGAAGAACCUUACCAAGGCUUGACAUAUACGAGAACGGGCCAGAAAUGGUCAACUCUUUGGACA
rnacentral:rRNA from 1 species